CCCUGGAUAGCUCAGUUGGUUACAGCGUGGACUUGAAUAAUGCUAAGGUUGCGGGUUCGAUUCCUGCAUUGCAGGGG